UGACAUUGGAACAACACAUGCCAACAAAAGCCAUCUAAAAAAGAAAAUUGCCUGGCAAGGGAAAUAAAUUGAAAAUUUUGUGAUUUUCGUACUGGUCUCGUGUAAACAUGUUAACAAUUUCAAUUUUCAUUCCGGUUUGAUUUCGUCCCGGUCUCAUGUCAACGGGGCCUUACACAACAAUAAAUUCAGUGACAUGUCACGAAGCAGACAAAACAUUUUGCGGUUUUGAAUAGAUACAUAUGUUCAUUGUUUAUCAGUUUCAACGGCGGUCUACUCGUAAUUGGCGGUUAGGCGCCAUUUUGGCACUUGUAUAAUGCCUUAUAGAAUUAGAAAAUAAUAGACACAUGCAGGGUGUCCCCCCAAAAAAACCCAAUUGAAAUAAACGUAUUGUUAGAAUUUGAAUGCCCAACAUGAGCUCCACCUUUGAAUUUACUAUAGGAGUAAAUUCUUAAGCAUGCACG